GCCGGCCGGGGCGGAGCGGAGCGGUCCGCAGAGCAGCCCCUCCCGGCCUCGGCCGACCCCGGCCCUAGGCCCGGCUCUAUGGACAGGAGCUCGCUGCUGCAGCUCAUUCAGGAGCAGGUGCGUGGUGGGUGGAAGCUGGCACUGCUUUGGCGCCCUUCCAGCCGGUGAGGGGCUCGGGGGAGGGACCACGUUCGCAGAAGGCCCAGGCAGCCGCCUCCCAAACCCCCCUCCCUGCACGACCUUGGCCUCUGAGACUCCCGACCCCAAGAAAGGUCUGGCUUUAUCAGGUUUCCACGGAAAGCUGGGGAUGGAGGGUGGUGGUCCUUGGACCUAGGUCCUUCCCCUUUCUAGGACUGGUAGGGCGAAUAUGAGGUGGUAGAACAGCCCAACCAGGCACCUUGCCCCGCCAGGGCCUGGGAACAAGCUGGUUCUAGCAAACAGGCACUGACUGGCACAAAGGUCCAGCCUUCCUAGCCAGCCUAGCUCAGCCCUGUGGCUGGGGGUUGGCCCACCCUCUACUCCCCCACCACAGCAGCUGGAUCCUGAGAACACAGGCUUCAUCGGUGCGGACACCUUCGCUGGUCUGGUACACAGCCAUGAG
rnacentral:lncRNA from 1 species